rnacentral:rRNA from 1 species
UACGUAGGGGGCAAGCGUUAUCCGGAAUUACUGGGUGUAAAGGGUGAGUAGGCGGCAUGGUAAGCCAGAUGUGAAAGCCUUGGGCUUAACCCGAGGAUUGCAUUUGGAACUAUCAAGCUAGAGUACAGGAGAGGAAAGCGGAAUUCCUAGUGUAGCGGUGAAAUGCGUAGAUAUUAGGAGGAACACCAGUGGCGAAGGCGGCUUACUGGGCUGUAACUGACGUUGAGGCUCGAAAGCGUGGGGAGCAAACAGG